CUACGGGGUGCAGCAGUGGGGAAUAUUGGGCAAUGGGCGCAAGCCUGACCCAGCAACGCCGCGUGAGGGAAGAAGGUUUUCGGAUUGUAAACCUCUGUCCUUGGGGACGAAGAAGUGACGGUACCCAAGGAGGAAGCUCCGGCUAACUACGUGCCAGCAGCCGCGGUGAAUACGUAGGGAGCAAGCGUUGUCCGGAAUUACUGGGCGUAAAGGGUGCGUAGGCGGCAUAUUAAGUCAGGUGUGAAAUACUCGGGCUCAACCCGGGGGCUGCAUUUGAAACUGAUAUGCUUGAGUGUGAGAGAGGAGAGUGGAAUUCCUAGUGUAGCGGUGGAAUGCGUAGAUAUUAGGAGGAACACCAGUGGCGAAGGCGACUUUCUGGCUCAUAACUGACGCUGAGGCACGAAAGCGUGGGGAGCAAACAGGAUUAGAUACCCUCGUAGUC
rnacentral:rRNA from 1 species